AAAUACAUUUUCUUAUUCAUUUCACUUGUUUUUGUAGUGAAAAAAAGAACAAAAUGUAGAUGCAGUAAAUUAAGGUGUAAAUGCAGUGUUUGUAUAGUAAAUCAGAGUAAUGAAAGGAGGUGAAAUGAUGUUUAAAUGGGUUAUAUGUAAGAAUUGUCAUGUAUGAAUUGCUUUUUUUAUUGGCAAUGUGUAAACAGCUUGUAACGAAACUAAAAAAUCGAGACCGUCCCCGACUUUCUAGGUUGUCUAAUGAAGCCAGAGCCCUGAUUUUUAUGUGAAGGACUCGGAAUCGGGACGGUUUUGCCGGGAAAAUCAAAAGGAUGUGACGUUUACGAGCUUCCGUGGGCCUCUCUUCCAUUCAGGAAUGCUUAUAUUUUCAGGAUAAUGCCGAAAGAGCCAUUCUGUACAGUAAUCAGCCCACUUCCUGAAUGACAUUAUCCUCCAGGAAGUGACAUCACUCUGGAAGGAAAACUGCAGAAUGAUCAAUCUUCUGAAGGUCUCUCCUCGAACCCUCAGAUAUGAUCGACUCAGAGUUCAGAUGAAGAAUAGUUUCAUGUCAUCUGGAUUGUACGGUUGUGAAUCUCCGGGACACGAGAGCCGUCAGAGUUGAACACAAGCCUCGCAUUUGCAAAAUGGCCCCACAAAGUCGAGCGAAGCAAAAUCUAUUGUGGCGUGG